rnacentral:rRNA from 1 species
UCUGGUACCUUUGGUGCUCGAGUUGUAAUUUGUAGAAGGCGACUCUGGGGCUGGUCCUUGUCUAUGUUCCUUGGAACAGGACGUCAUGGAGGGUGAGAAUCCCGUGUGGCGAGGAUCCCAGUUCUUUGUAGAGUGCCUUCGAAGAGUCGAGUUGUUUGGGAAUGCAGCUCUAAGUGGGUGGUAAAUUCCAUCUAAAGCUAAAUAUUGGCGAGAGACCGAUAGCGAACAAGUACAGUGAUGGAAAGAUGAAAAGAACUUUGAAAAGAGAGUGAAAAAGUACGUGAAAUUGUUGAAAGGGAAGGGCAUUUGAUCAGACAUGGUGUUUUGUGCCCCUCGCUCCUCGUGGGUGGGGGAAUCUCGCAGCUCACUGGGCCAGCAUCAGUUUUGGCGGCAGGAUAAAUCCCUGGGAAUGUAGCUCUGGCAUUUAUGUUGGAGAACUUAUAGCUCAGGGGAAUACUGCCAGCCGGGACUGAGGAAUGCGACUUUUAGUCAAGGAUGCUGGCAUAAUGGUUAUAUGCCGCCCGUCUUGAACCACCGGACCAAAAAU